GCGGAUAGUUCGUUAGGCGAAAAUACUGAAUAAUUAAACAAGCCAAAUGGCAUCACUGGUGAUUCUUUUUUCCACUCCGCUAAACUGUCAUCUCAAACAAAAACAAAUGGAUCAUACAACUGCUAUGAAUACAUUCGACUCGUUUGCUUCCAUCAAUCGGUAAGUGAGAAAGAUGAUUUCUCCCAUCACCACAGUGCGGAUUUCCACUUCUAUCACAGCAGCCAACAACAUCCGUUUUCCUGCAGCAGUAACCUCCAACCCCUGUUGGCAAUGCCGGGGGACAGCAUUAACAGCAGCCGCAGCAGAAUUUGACCAUGGUAUGGUAUUGCGAAGAACUUUCCCCAUUAGAGGUUCCGUGCUUCGCGCACAUUCAAAAAUCCUCUUCAGACACGAAAACUCAACGACAAGGAGGUAUUUAUCAACUUGCUCAGCUGAAUUACCACCCGGAGGAACCCGAAUGCACUGAUUCCGUUGUAUAGUAGAAUGAAAAUAGGCGAGGUAAGCGAACGUAAUCGCAUGAUAUUUUAAUGUUCGCAUUUUUAUCCGGAUCAUACAACUGCUAUGAAUACAUCCGACUCAAUCAAUCGGCGAAUGAGUAAGAUGAUUUCCCUCAUCACCACAUUGCUUAUUUCCACUUCUGUCACCAGCCAACAGCAUCAGCUUUCCCGCAGCAGUAUCCUUUAAGUCCAGGGUGCUAUUCCGGGGAACAGCAUCAACAGCAACAGCAGCAGGACCUGUCCAUCGAUAGUAUUUCGAGCAAUUUUCCCCAUCGGAGAUCCCGUGCUUCACGCACAUUGAAGAAUCCUCCUCAGCCAAAUAUCUGUGUCAUCAAGGGCAAGGAGGUAUUCAUCAAUGUACUCAGUCGGAUUUGAAUCGUCAAUCCAGACAACCCGGAUGCACCGAUUCCAUUAUAUACCUUAUUUU